rnacentral:rRNA from 1 species
CUUCUUAGAGGGACUAUCGGUGUUUAMCCGAUGGAAGUUUGAGGCAAUAMCAGGUCUGUGAUGCCSUUAGAUGUUSUGGKCCGCACGCGCGMUACACUGAUGAAGUCAUCGAGUUCAUUUCCUUCAUCGGAAGAUGUGGGUAAUCUUUUGMAACUUCAUCGUGCUGGGGAUAGAGCAUUGCAAUUAUUGCUCUUGAWCGAGGRAUCCCUAGUAAGCACAAGUCAUCAGSUUGUGCUGAUUACGUCCCUGCCCUUUGUACACACCGCCCGUCGCUACUACCGAUUGAAUGGCUUAGUGAGG